AGCCUUGCACAGUGGCAGUAUCGUACCCAAUGAGGUUUAUCUGAGGUGCGAUUAUUGCUAAUUGAAAGAUGUGUCCAUCAGGAGUUCCAAAAGGAAAUAUUAGAAUUGGGGUGAGGCA
rnacentral:snRNA from 1 species